GCCCUAAAUGAUUGCCUGCUCAGCAAAAUAAAGGCCCAGUGUGGAAGCCAGAACUUGCAUUUGAAGGAUGGGAAGGAUGGGAAGGAUGGGCUGAGGAGGGCCCAUCAGCAGCAGCCGGAGAGGGAGGCGGCCAUGGAGACUUGGAGCGUUCCCGUUUCUUCCAGAGCUCCGUCCCGAGAGCGCUGCGGAAUAAGGGAGGAGCGUCCUGCUUCCCGGCUGCCCUGUUGCUGUCGGAGUCACAGGAUGGCGGCCGUCGUCCUGCCCCCGACUGCUGCUCCAUCUUCCCCGUUCCCAGCCUCUCAGCAAAAAGGACACACAGAGAGCGGAGAGCUGGUUGAUGAGCUCCUGACAAGCUGGCUACGGGUGAGUAGGAUGCUCCUUUUCCCAAGUCAUUACUCCUUUGACUAGAAGGUUAGACUUGGUACCUUCCAGCAGCCUGGAGCCUCAUGGCCAAACCAGGUCCUCAGGCGUCCCAGGAUUUCCAGGCAUCUGAUGGAGGGUGAGGGCUGCCCAGAAGAUGUCAGUGUGUGUCAACGUUUACUACAGGUUCAGAGCCCCCUCCAGGUUCCCUAAGUACAUCAUGUGCUCCUGCGAGUUUUAAGGGAAAGCCAAGUAAAGACAUGACAAUGUUCUAAGCCCAAGCGAUGAAUGAAGGCCUUAUGGAAAUCAUUCAUUCACUUACCAAGUAUUUCUCCGAUUUCUGCCGUGUCACGGGCCCGUGCUCCCCUGGAGACUGAGGGAAACGAGGUCA